AUUUCCCUCCUGAUUUGCUCCAUCAUACCAACUUUAAUCACUUUCUCUUUGCUAACCACCUUUAACGUCAUGCUUUCUUUCCUGUUUGUAAAUUGUGAGUGUGGUAGACCUUAGCAAAAGUGCUAUGCCCCAGCAUCCAGCCGAGCUCGUAUCUCCUAUGAAGCAGGGUCGAGUAACCAUCUUUGUGCCUUUCUGCCAUUGAUAUACACAAAGAGAGAGAGAGAUUCGCUAUAGAGACAAAAAGAAAUUCUGAUCAAAAAACUAAAAAGGGGUGAGCUUAUGCAGUCUUGUGGAUUAGUCGUAAUUGACGUGGCGCCAACUUGGCAUCCUACAUGGCACACCGUUACCCCCUUUAACGGUGUAGCAAAGAGUAGGGAGUAAUUGCAACUUCUUUCAAAGUUUAGGAUUUAAUUGGUAAUUUUCAAAGUUUGGAGUAAAUUUGCAAAAUUUUAGAAAGUUCAGGUUCUUUUUUGCCAAUUAUCCCUAAAUAUUUUAUUGUCUGUUUGUGUAUUUCUCUUGGGUUCAACAUAAAUUUUAAGAAAUGAAUUUUGUUUUCUUUC
rnacentral:misc_RNA from 1 species